rnacentral:scRNA from 1 species
GGGGUUGGGGAUUUAGCUCAGUGGUAGAGCGCUUGCCUAGGAAGCGCAAGGCCCUGGGUUCGGUCCCCAGCUCCGAAAAAAAAAAAAAAAAAAAAAGAACCAAAAAUUU